UAGGGAAUCUUCCGCAAUGGGCGAAAGCCUGACGGAGCAACGCCGCGUGAGUGAUGAAGGUCUUCGGAUCGUAAAACUCUGUUAUUAGGGAAGAACAAAUGUGUAAGUAACUAUGCACGUCUUGACGGUACCUAAUCAGAAAGCCACGGCUAACUACGUGCCAGCAGCCGCGGUAAUACGUAGGUGGCAAGCGUUAUCCGGAAUUAUUGGGCGUAAAGCGCGCGUAGGCGGUUUUUUAAGUCUGGUGUGAAAGCCCACGGCUCAACCGUGGAGGGUCAGUGGAAACUGGAAAACGUGAGUGCAGAAGAGGAAAGUGGAAUUCCAUGUGUAGCGGUGAAAUGCGGAGAGAUAUGGGGGAACACCAGUGGCGAAGGCGACUUUCUGGUCUGUAACUGACGCUGAUGUGCGAAAGCGUGGGGAUCAAACAGG
rnacentral:rRNA from 1 species